UACGAAGGGGGCUAGCGUUGUUCGGAAUUACUGGGCGUAAAGCGCGCGCAGGCGGUCCUUCAAGUCAGAGGUGAAAGCCCAGAGCUCAACUCUGGAAUGGCCUUUGAGACUAGAGGACUUGGGUACGGGAGAGGUGAGUGGAAUUCCGAGUGUAGAGGUGAAAUUCGUAGAUAUUCGGAAGAACACCAGUGGCGAAGGCGGCUCACUGGCCCGUUACAGACGCUCAGGCGCGACAGCGUGGGGAGCAAACAGG
rnacentral:rRNA from 1 species